UAGGGAAUCUUCGGCAAUGGGGGGAACCCUGACCGACCAACGCCGCGUGAGUGAAGAAGGUUUUCGGUUCGUAAAGCUCUGUUGUUAAGGAAGAACGAGCGUGAGAAUGGAAAGUUCAUGCUGCGACGGUACUUAACCAGAAAGGGACGGCUAACUACGUGCCAGCAGCCGCGGUAAUACGUAGGCCCCGAGCGUUGUCCGGAUUUAUUGGGCGUAAAGCGAGCGCAGGCGGUUAGAAAAGUCGGAGGUGAAAGGCCGUGGCUCAACCCUGGUAGUGUUUUGAAACUGUGUAAGUUGGGUGCAGAAGGGGGGAGUGGAAUUCCCUAUGUGACGGUGAAAUGCGUGGAUAUAUGGGGGAACACCCGUGGGGAAAGCGGCUCUCUGGUCUGUAUCUGUCGCUGAGGCUCGAAAGCGGGGGGAGCGAACAGG
rnacentral:rRNA from 1 species